rnacentral:tRNA from 1 species
UGAAGUGCCUGAUUUUAAGGAUAAUCUUGAUACGAUUAAAUAAGUGUGUGCCCCCCCCCCACCUUCACAA